GACGAACGCUGGCGGCGCGCCUAACACAUGCAAGUCGAACGGAGCUUUGAGAGCUUGCUUUUAAAGCUUAGUGGCGAACGGGUGAGUAACGCGUGAGUAACCUGCCCUGGAGUGGGGGACAACAGUUGGAAACGACUGCUAAUACCGCAUAAGCCCACAGGUCGGCAUCGACCAGAGGGAAAAGGAGCAAUCCGCUAAUAGAUGGCCUUGCGUCUGAUUAGAUAGUUGGUGGGGUAACAGCCUACCAAGUCGACGAUCAGUAGCCGGACUGAGAGGUUGAACGGCCACAUUGGGACUGAGAUACGGCCCAG
rnacentral:rRNA from 1 species